UUAUGUCAUCAGAUUUCAUGAAAUCUGCGUGUAUGCUUGGCUUUUCAGGUUUAGGCUUGCGAUUGAUUAUUGCAGACCCUAAAGCUUUAUCCAUCUUACCUGUAAAAAAAAGCAAAAGAAAAAAAGAGAGAGAAAAAAGCUUUAUCAAUGAAAAGAGAGAGAAGAGACCCAACUCCCACAAUAUAUGGUAGUUGUUGACUGCAGCAGAUAUUCAACUGCUGCCUUGGAGGUAGAAAUGUUAGUCCUUUUUUAACAAGGUCCGCUCAGAGCUGUUGAUUGCAACAGAUUCAGCCACUGCCUUGUUUUAUCUAAGAAAGGGGGUUUCUUUGAUGAGUUUUGCUAAAUCUGGAUUUAUCUUUUGGUAGCUCACUUGUUUGGUGAAUCUACGUUGAGUACCUCUGUUGGUUUCUUCAUUCUUCAGGGAAAGCAAGAUUUGUGGGGCCUGCAAUAGGAGACUGCAACCUUUCCUAUGAUAGUAGAAGGGGUUUUUUCUACUCCUAUAAAUGUUCUUUGGCAGUGCUUAUUUUCUGUUGCUCGUUUCUGUAUGUAUUCAGUAUGUAGGAAUUUCUAAGUUGCUCUGAUUUGGAUCUCAGGGCUGUGGAAUCGUCUUUAUCCAUCAGUUAGAACUGGAUUCGGCAACAUGGUUUAUCGCUAAGGGGGGUUUCAUUGCAGAAUUUCUUCUCUUUGGUUCCGCUGGUGUGUUUUGUCAAAUUUUCAUGAAACUACGUGCCGUGUUUGGCCUUUCAGGUUGUUGUUUGCAAUGGCAAUGGAUUGUCGACGACUGUAAGAUGCGAAACUGAGGGAAUUUGGUCGUUGUAUGGUUCCAUAGAAAUAGAUGGCCAAGCUGCUUGCCAAUUUUUUUCCUUAAUUGCUUCAGAGAAAGGGAUGGUCAUGAUCUUAUCGAAUGAUUAUCUUGCUGGGUUCUUGGUCUAGAUUCUCACCUUCCAAUAUUCGUCAAUGCCAUUCUUAUGAUCAGUAUGUAUUCUAGAUGUUUAUUUGCACCCUCUGGCUGUGAUGCAGACUUGCUGAAUGUUUAGGAGUUUGGAAUUGAGGUGGUUUUCUGAUUUUUUUUUUCAGAGUUUAGAAAUGAGAAGAUUAGUUUUCCUACGUGGAUGUUUCGGCGGUUUCGCUUGUUUUUACUUUCUACUUGGUUUCUAUGUUUGUUAAAAUUUUUGGAAAUUCUUUA